GAUCAUGGCUCAGAACGAACGCUGGCGGCAUGGAUUAGGCAUGCAAGUUGAACGAACUCCUUCGGGAGUGAGUAGCGGAAGGGUGAGGAACGCGUGAGUAAUCUGCCCCCCAGUUGGGAAUAACAGUUGGAAACGACUGCUAAUACCGAAUGUGGCUUAAGCUUCGCCUGGAGCUUUGGCUAAAGAUUUAUCGCUGGGGGAUGAGCUCGCGUCCCAUUAGCUAGUUGGUGAGGUAACGGCUCACCAAGGCGACGAUGGGUAGCUGGUCUGAGAGGAUGGUCAGCCACACUGGGACUGAGACACUGCCCAGACUCCUACGGGAGGCUGCAGUCGAGAAUCUUGGGCAAUGCGCGAAAGCGUGAACCCCCAGCAAUGCCGCGUGUAUGAUGAAGGCCCUCGGGUCGUAAAGUACUGUCUCCCGUGACGAAAUUUGACGGUAGCGGGGAAGGAAGCCACGGCUAACUACGUGCCAGCCGCUGC
rnacentral:rRNA from 1 species